rnacentral:misc_RNA from 1 species
UCUCCGUAGGUGAACCUGCGGAGUGAUCAUUACCAAAUCACAACAACAACACAACCCUGUGUGAAUGUCUGCAUGGAUGCCUGUGGGGAGAGGAAGCGAGCGACGUAUGCGCGCACGCCGGCACUCCCCACAUGGCUCCAGCAACCCACAAAGACGAUUCUUGUCAGAGUAUGUAGAUACGCAACGAUCAACAACUUUUAACAAUGGAUCUCUUGGCUCUUGCAUCGAUGAAGAACGCAGC